UACGUAGGGCGCAAGCGUUAUCCGGAAUUAUUGGGCGUAAAGAGCUCGUAGGCGGUUUGUCGCGUCUGCCGUGAAAACUCAGGGCUUAACCCUGAGCUUGCAGUGGGUACGGGCAGACUAGAGUGCGGUAGGGGAGACUGGAAUUCCUGGUGUAGCGGUGAAAUGCGCAGAUAUCAGGAAGAACACCUAUGGCGAAGGCAGCUCUCUGGGACGGUACUGACGCUGAGACGCGAAAGCGUGGGGAGCGAACAGG
rnacentral:rRNA from 1 species